GGCAUUGUGGCUUAGUGGUUAGCACGCUCACCUCGCACCUCCAGGGUUGGGGGCUCGAUUCCCGCCUCUGCCC